AUUUUUCAUUUAUUUUAAUUGUUUUGUGCUUUCAUAACCUACUAAAAACAUUCCAAUCGGUCAUAUACAUAUUACAGGGAACCAAAAUGUCAACAUUGGAGUUGGAAUCUUCAAAGAAAAAUGUUCACAACUGCACACAAUGCCCUUAUUUUACAACGUCACUUUUUCUUCUAAAUAACCACGUGAGACGACACCGAUCUAGGGAAAAAUUUACAUGUUCUAACUCCAAAAUUGAAGUUUAUUACUGCAGAGACUGCUAUUUUCAAACGGAAUUAAUGGUUGUGUUCAAACAACACUUUAUUAAAUAUCACGGCCUCAAUAGAGAAUCUAGGGACGAUUUAUCAAGUGGGGACUUCAGCAUACAAAAUUACGUUUGCGAAAAUUGCGGCUUCGGAACAAAUUUCUCGCUAAAGCUGCUUCGGCACACUUAUGAAUGCAGGGGGAUGAAUUUAAAUCGUCGACGUGUGAUUUAUGUCAGAAAGAAACGGUAUGCGUGUGACAAGUGUCCAUUUAAAAGUGCACAUAAUACUAGCUUAAGAAACCACAUAAAUUGUGUCCAUUUAGAUGAAGAAAAUGCUAAAUGGCACAAGUGCGAACAAUGCCCGUUUAAAACUAAAUUGAAAAGUAGUUUAAAAAUCCACAUAAGUCGAUUACACCCCAACGAACGAGACGUUAAAUGGCACCAAUGUAAAGAGUGUUCACAUAAAACUAAGCUGAAGGCAGAUCUAAGAAAACAUAUAAUUAUGAAACACUUGAGCGAAGAAGAGGUAAGGUGGUACGAAUGUGAACAUUGCCCAUUCAAAACUAAGCACUCAAAAAAUUUGAAAAAACAUGUAAUUGUGCAACAUUUGGAUGAUGAUGAAGUGGAGUGGUACGAGUGUGGAGAUUGUUCGUACAAGGGUAAAACCAAAUCUAAUUUAAAAAAUCAUGUAAAGGUCCAUUCGGAUUUCAAAUCGUAUCAGUGCGAAAAUUGUCCAUAUAAGGCGAAACGCAAGGGUGAAUUAAGACGUCAUAUAAAUUGCACCCAUUUGAAUCGAAUUGGAAGCUAAAUUUAGUUGAUGUGUGAUUGUAUUAAGUUGUAUGUAUAUAAUUAUGUUUGAAAUAAAAUUUCAAAUUGCGCUAGUUUGAAUUUCA